GAUCCGAGUUGAGGCUUUACUAGAUGAAGCUGUGCGGCGUCGACUUCAAAACAAGCCUUAGGGAACUCAACCUACAGAAGUGCAUGAGGACGCAUUUCGUGAUGUUUUUGGACCCGAACAUUCUGGCCGAGUUCGAUGUUUAGGUGCUGGUGCACUUCCUAGCCAAGUUUUCCCUGAGCUGUGUAAGCGCACAAUCUAUACACCAAGUUAUCACUCUAAUUCAAAUAUGACAGCUGAAUUCAAGGAAAUGUAAGAAAAAAUAAAAGAAAUGGAGGCA